rnacentral:ncRNA from 1 species
GUCGGGCUGGGGACCUGAAGCAGGAACGGCACUGCACCGGGACUGGGCGGGGCUCGCCGUUCACGCGGCGCGGCCAAGCCCGGACCAGCGUCGGGACCUUCCUGUGGAAAGCCUCAGCUGCGCGGCGUCUGAGGGCUUCGUGCCCAAAGUGCUAUGCUUCGGCCGGCAAAAAACAGUCAACUCAGAACUGGCACGGACCGGGGGAAUCCGACUGUCUAAUUAAAACAAAGCAUUGCGAUGGCCGCUGGUCGGUGUUGACGCAAUGUGAUUUCUGCCCAGUGCUCUGAAUGUCAACGUGAAGAGAUUCAUCAAAGCGCGGGUAAACGGCGGGAGUAACUAUGACUCUCUUGUCUCCUAUGGCAUGCACGCCUUGGAUUCGGGGUGAGAGCAGAUGGUUGCUUGCUCGCGCAAAGUCGAACUCCCACCUGCUCGUGGUGUCCGCCGCAAGACUAGUGAGCCUAAAGGGGGUGCAUCCCUGGCGAACUCGUCUUCAACGGGAGCUCUCGCAUUCCUUCGGGGGGGGUGACCCUGCCCCCCCACACCGGCUUGGCUAUCAUGGAAAAGGGACUCCUAAGACCCUGACCGAGUGGUCGGGGUUCCAAGUCUGGAGUCGGGCUGACUGCACUUAUGACGCCAUAAACACACCAAGCUGGAUAGGUGCUUGGCUGAAGCCUAUGUGGGUCCUGUCAUGGGGCAUCUGGUGAGGGCUUUUGCCCUCCCACUUGAGCGUUGUACGUUGGCCAGGCUUCGUUUUUUCGCCCCUGCUUUCUGGAGCACGGGGCGGUUUGGGUUCCUCUGCCCAGCUACCAUCAGAGUGACAAUCAAAGCUUCUUCACCAGUUUCUGGGGAGGCUCUACCACGAGGCCGGUACCGGCCUCUUCCGGGUUGUGGGCCUUGAGCUCAGCUUCCUGUGGAGUCGGGAGCCCUGCCCAUGUAACAUCUCCGGGCAGGGGAGCCGCCUGGCCU